GGAGUGCCUGGUGGCAAAGAUGGGGGGGGGCUGUGCGCCCCAACAGGCCCACUAAAUCCUGGGUGUCUAUCCCUAAAAAUCGAGGUCCCAUGUCAUGUUUCCGGGGUGCCCUGUGCUUGUGCAACAUGGGCGCGUGGUGCGAACCAACGUGCGUGGCACCCUAGGCCUCAGUGGUAGUGGCAGGACCUGUGCUCAGUUAGAGGGUUACAAGGUAGGCGCAUCCCGGCCGACUGAGUUAAGGCGCAGGUAGCUGGGUAGAGGGUUCUCACAGGGACCUACUUGCUAAGCAGGGGACAGUCCCCUGGAUCGGCUGGGGGGGGGGGGGGGAGCGCGCAGCCUCCACCUGCCUGAGCAGGCAGGGCGGGCUGUGAGGCACCUCGAAUAGCAGCCAGAUAGAUCUUACUAAGCGCCCCUAACCUCUGCUUUGCCUGGGAUCUCCUAGCAGCCUUUGGGGGGCCACCAGGUGCACCAUGAAGGGAAGGCUGGCUUGGCCACGCCAAAUCUGGGCCCCGCGUGGAGCCCCCGCACAAUGUCUGCGCCCUUCAGCAGAAAAAGAAGCAGGGCGGGAAACGUAGCUCAAACCAGACCUGUAAACCAGAGCUCACUGAAGUGCUUCUAAGCGGCGCGCCUUUGGGACCCCACCCAGUAUGAGCAGAUAACAGUUCCCUGUCCUCAGCACUUUGAAUUUGCUUAGUUGCAGGUUCGGCCCCAGGGGCCAAUGCGAUAAUUCCGGGCUAUUAAGAAACUCUCCCCGGGUGGUUUCAGAUAUAAGAAGCCAUUGUGAUUUUUACCAAGUCAAAAUCACUUCUAAACCGGUGCACCUUGUUUCCCUCUCCCGACCUCCGCACCUCUAGGCCUCUAAAGGGCCACUACUGGCGGAAACCAGUGCACCCGGGGCUAACCUCCCGGCCCGACCAUCAAUCACCGCGCCCGCGCUCUACACUCGCUUCCCCAAGCCCUCGACCUGUAGGGUUGGAGGCUCCAAGCCGCCCGAGCGCUCUGCCCUUCCCGCUUCCUGGCCGCCCAGGCGCUUUCCCUACCACCGCGUUGUUUGCAGAGUGCACACAAAGUGGCGCGCGUUUCGGAGCGCCCAGCCCAAAGGAGCGCUGCCGCCGAGGGAGAAGCCAGCAGCCCGCUCCCGCGCUACUCCGCAGCAGCCCUGAGGACAAACUGCGAGGUAGCCGGUGCCCCGCAGUGGAAGAGCUGGGGCACGAGGGAGCGCGCCACGGGGAGCUCACCACAAGGCCGAAGGUCGGGUCCGCUGGCGCAGGAGGAUCGGAGGAGAAGGGCGGGAGAGCGGAUGAAGUGGGAGCUGCUGAAGUGGACGCUGCUGAAGGAGUUUGUGCCUAUAGAUUUGAGGAAGCUUCCAGCUAGGAAGACCGGGGUCUCUGGAGAAGCCGCUGACUCACACCCCGGAGAUGAACUCCUGGACUUUGCCAGGUAGGAAAACGCUGAGGUCACCUUAAGGUGUCCAUUGAAGAGCCACCAGGGCAUGCAGGCGGGAUAGGGUGGGGGCCAGGGUAUGCAUGUGUUCUUCUUCCUCUAUGUGGCUGCCCACAGAGCCUUCACCUGACCUUAUUUAGUCAAAGUGUGGCUCAAGGGGCAGGGAAGAGCCUGGUACAGUUCCGGGUCAACCUAGGGCUCAAAAGCACACAGCCUACCCCCAGCUAGGAUCAGCGACAGAUUCUUUCUCUAAGGCCCUCUCCUUUUCCUUAUUUUUGCCUACCCUCUCCCCCCUACAAGGUAGAAAGGGGCCUACCUUGCAUGCAUGGGGUCUAUUGUUUCUUCUAGAUAGGGCCUGGCCCACUAGACUUUAGCCCUGUGCUGAUCCCAAUCCUUGCCCUCCCCUGCUCUGCCCCACCACCGAGGCAGCCUAGGUCUCCUUUCUGGGCUUAAAAGCUCAAAUUCUGAAGAAACUAAAUAUCCUUUAAGAUUCAGACUUACCCACUAAGCCGUCCCCAGCAUGCUCUUCCUCAUGCCUGUGCUGGAUGCCUGCCACAGAGGACACACUCAACUGGGCUGCGGUCUUGGACACCACAUAGGGACUCCACACCAGGAAGACCCAAGCAAUGCUCUAUGCCAAUCUGCAAGCCUGGGAAGAAGUCACUACCUGAACCACCAACAUGAGGAUUGCACCAAACUGAUCAACACAACCCACACCAAAAGUUCUUUCCUCAUCUGGAACCCUGCCUUUCCCUCUGGAGCUGUCUGACCUCCCCCCUUCCCCAGCAUUUGCUACCUUUGCCCCUGGACUCCUGGAAGCAUUACAGAGACUGCUGCCUCGUGUCUGCUUGGCUUACACCCCUUGUUCCCAAGAAGUGACACCUGGAGCGCACCUGAAUCCCAGAUACUGUGACUGACUAGACUUCCUAGCCUUGGCUGGUUCCUUGGCUGAGUCUUGCAUUUGCAGGAGCUCUGAUGCUCCUGUGCUAGAGAUACCUCUGUUCUGCUGUAUACCUGAAGGACACUCACCUCUGAGGAAAGACUGGGGCUGGUGGGAGGUUUCUGAGGUUUCAUUCAGUUCUGGGAGCGUGGGGAUCUCCUGGGCCACAGGCCACAGCACUUGGGCACGGGGCUGGAGUCUCGGGAUGCUCUAGCCUGUUUCUUCUCAGGUUCCGGCUCAGGCUUCAGCUCGGGCUCAGGCUCAGGCUCAGGCUUCAGCUCAGGCCUCGGUGGCAGAGGCCUCGGCUCGGGCCUUGGUGGCAGAGGCCUCGACUCGGGCCUUGGUGGCAGAGGCCUCAGCUCGGGCCUUGGUGGCAGAGGCCUCAGCUCGGGCCUCGGUGGCACGGGCCUCGGCUCAGGCCUCAGUAGCAGAGGUCUCAGCUCAGGCCUUGGUGGCACGGGCCUCGGCUCAGACCUCAGUAGCAGAGGUCUCAGCUCAGGCCUCGGUGGCAGAGGCCUCGGCUCAGGCCUAGGUGGUACAGGCCUCGGCUCAGGCCUAGGUGGUACAGGCCUUGGCUCAGGCCUAGGUGGCACAGGCCUCGGCUCAGGCUUUGGUGGCUCAGGCCUCGGCUCAGGCUUUGGUGGCUCAGGCCUCGGCUCAGGCUUUGGUGGCUCAGGCCUCGGCUCAGGCUUAGGUGGCUCAGGCCUGGGCUCAGGCUUAGGUGGCUCAGGCCUCGGCUCAGGCCUUGGUGGCACAGGCCUGGACUUAGGCUUCUGCAGCUCUGGCUGGACGAGAAGUUUAGCCUUAGGAGACUCAGAACCCUGGGUUAGGGGCCUGCAGUCGUCGUAGUCGUUCUCCUCUUCCUCCUCCUCCUCUUGCACAGUGAGCUCUGUUUUAAUUACUCGUCCCCUGAGGAGGAGAAGCAAAAAUCCUUGAGAUUAUCUCAAAAACAAAUCUUCUCCAGCUGAGUCUGGCCCCCUCCCCCCACCUUGCUGCUGGAUGGGGAAGCCCAAGGGUCACCUUGUCAUGGUUGGAGCACUCCCCCCUACCCUGUCCCUUCAGCUGCCUACUCUCCCCACCCCCUUCUCAGUAGAAGGGAGGAAGCAGUUGGUGAGAAGUCACUUUGCCAAGUUUGACAACUGUUCAGGGAGAGGCAGGAGACCCUCCUUUGGGAAGGACAAUCUGGCUCCUGCCUGGCUGGGGGCGGGGGUGGUGGUGGUGUAAAACUGCUGCUGCACACAAAAGGCUUUCUUUGAGGGGUCACAGCUAAAAAUGUGAAUGUCUCCCAUUCCUCUCCUCACACUUCUACCUUGGAUGGGAACAAAAAACAAAGGGCACAUGGAUCUGCCUUAGGAAGGCAACUUCUGGAAGGGGUGGCAGGGCUUCUCCCCAUAAACAUUAUACCGGUGGAUUAAGGAGUCUGGGAUCCCAGUUGCAGGGAAAAAAAGCUUUGUGCACAAAUGAAUGUGCAACUGGGAGUGCUGUGGCUGCUGCUCCAAAUUCCUGCCUGUGCACAGGGAACACGGAGGGGGGGGGGGGAGGGGGAGUUAAAGACAGACACAGCCAGGAGAAAAGCAGUUUUUGUACUUAAACCCUGCUAGGGAAUAGCAAGGCACAUCAUCCUAUCUAUCUACCCUCCAGUAUCCUGGUGGUAGUUAGGAGGUACAGGAUAUAAAAACAGGGAAACUUUGCUUUUAAAAUUUUAUAUAUAUAUAUAUAUAUAUAUACAUACAUCUACAUAAUAUAUAUGUAUAAUAAUAAUACACACCCCCACACUGCUCUAGAAUCUCUGGCCCCUCUGCACAGUUUAGCCGGGAGUGGGGUGGGGGUGGGGGGGAGGAGCGGGGGGAGCAUACACCAGGGGGAAAAUGUUCACACAGAAAAAUUUCACAUUUGCAAAAACAGCUGUGUACUCCUGCUGGGAAGAGAAAGAGCGCUGCCUCUCCCCUUUGCAUGGUAGAUUAGAGAACGAAACCAUACUUUCCUUGUAGCUUUGUGCAGCCCUUUAAGUCCCAGUCCCAGUUGUCCUUUUGUCCCCUCAGAAGUUGAAGUCACUCUUAAGACCGUCCGGUUUAGCGGCAACCUUCCCCCUCUUCAGAGACUAACUGAAGGACCCUAACUCUCCCAAGUCCCCAGCCACCUACCCACACCAGAAUAUUUAAACUGCACCUUCACUCAUACACAAAAGGCAUGAACAAGGGGAAAUCAAUUAGUUACCUGUACUCUAGUCGCUUCGUAGUUCCUGAAGUUCCCGGACGGUGGAUAAAGAGGACCGGGGAGUCACUGGUGCCCAAGAUUCUCUUCCGAAAUUGCCCGGACGAUGAUCCGCUGGCUGGGUCAAUAUUAGCAGCCCCCUCCAAAGCAGGGGGUGCUCUGGUUGUGGUGCCCGGGCCCUCCAGCCGGGGCGACGAUGUUGCGGCGGGGCUGGAAGGGGCUGAGUCUGAGUCUGAAGAGACGGUGAGAGGGAGUUUUAGAGCGUGCAUGAUAACAGAGCCCCUAGAAGUGGCUUCUGCUCUCCACCACUGAGUAAGGCACCUGCUCGAAUGACACCACGCUUUUAUCCCUCACCUCGUCCCCUCCACGCCCACUUCCAGCCCCCUCCAAAUUUGGGAAAUGAUAUGCCAGUAAAGUACUGCAAAGACUUAUGGGGCAGCUGGCUAUGGCGCUUUCCCACACUAGGGUAUGGGGGCAUUAGAGGGUGGGGCUUUGGCCCCUGCCUGACAGACAGGAAGGCGUCUAUGCAGGUUUGAAUUAAGCUAGAAGCACUUCCUGUUAGCUAGGGGGUAGGGACUAUGUGCAGGGGUGGAGAGUGGGUGGGGCUUCACUGGAUUGACACCUGGCAGUCACCUGACACCCUGGAAUGUCUGUGGGCGUGGCACAGGUAAAAAGGGGCGUGGCUUAUGCAAAUUAGGGUCCGGAUUUAAAAUAAAUAUUAAAAUUACUUUCUAAGGUCU
rnacentral:lncRNA from 1 species